GAUGAACGCUAGCGGCAGGCCUAACACAUGCAAGUCGAGGGAGAAGCCCUUUCGGGGGCAGAAACCGGCGCACGGGUGCGUAACGCGUAUGCAACCUACCUUUCACAGGGGGAUAGCCCGAAGAAAUUUGGAUUAAUACCCCAUAAUAUUAUUGGAUGGCAUCAUUUGAUAAUUAAAACUGCGGUGGUGAAAGAUGGGCAUGCGUCCUAUUAGCCAGUUGGAGUGGUAACGGCACCCCAAGGCUACGAUAGGUAGGGGUCCUGAGAGGGAGAUCCCCCACACUGGUACUGAGACAGGGACCAGACUCCUACGGGAGGCAGCAGUGAGGAAUAUUGGUCAAUGGUCGGAAGACUGAACCAGCCAUGCCGCGUGCAGGAAGAAUGCCUUAUGGGUUGUAAACUGCUUUUAUAUGGGAAGAAUAAGGCGUACGUGUACGUNGANGACGNUNCCA
rnacentral:rRNA from 1 species